AUCUUUAAGGCGCUGUGAGUUAAAAAAAUGUUUUUUUUUCUUUUUGUUCCCUAUCAUUUCAGCGCAGCUGCAGGCUUCUGAGACAAAUAGGGAAAUAAGAAAGACCCCCUUUUAACCAGGAAAGUUCUCUGGAUGGAAGAAUUGAACCUUCUGUUGGAACAAUUUAGGCACUUUAAAGAGAUAUCAAAUUACUUGAAGUUGAUUAAAAUUUUGUGAAGAAAAAUCCUGGGAAAUUAUAAAGCACUGGCAGAUGAAAGAGUGGCACAGAAUGAGGUUGGAACUGACAGGGAUUAUUUCAGGAGAAGCCCA
rnacentral:lncRNA from 1 species